rnacentral:lncRNA from 1 species
GCUGUGUUGAAACCUGCUGUAGCAGUCUGUUGCAGCAUCUGAAAUAUGUCAUUUGUGUUUCUCUCUUUCUGUCCUAUCUCUCUAACCCAGGGUGAAGAAACAAGGAGCCUCAAAGUCACCCUCCACAGAACAUCAUCAGGAUCUCUUGGAUUCAGUAUCAUUGGAGGAAGAUUGUGUGGGGAAACAGAGCAGCAUGGGGAUUUCAGUGAUGGCAUCUAUGUAUCCAAGAUAGUUGAAAACGGAGCAGCUGACAAGGCUGGACUGCAUGUUCAUGACAGGAUCAUUGAGGUUUGUCAGUUGAUUUUAUGGAUGCAGAAUUAGCUUUUUAAUUGAAGGUAGCGCAAGCUUUUUCUUAGACAGGAUGAGGACCAAAAUGCUGAAUGCAAUCAAACUCCACACUGUGGAAGAAAAAGGUCACCAAGACAACCACUAGACAGAUGAAAGCCAAAUGAGAUAGACAUCAUAGCACUCGUCUGAGCUGCUCAACUGGUGCCAAUGUUUUCACAGUCUGUUUGUUAGAUUUGUCAGAUCCAGUCAGACUAACAAUGUUGGCGCCAUUGUAGGUUGAUUUCACACUGGGCAGACUUCUUUAAAAAGGGUGUUAGUCUGUUCAUCCAGCAGUACUGUUUCAGAUAUCUAACAGGAACAAAGUGUUUCACAUAUAAAAGAGAAUGCUUUCUGUAAGGGCACAUGCUUUCUAACAAUGACAACACAACAUCAAGAUAUAGUAACUUGUAAAUAUCUACGAAAUGUGACAUCUGUGCCCAUCCAGAAUGCUGUUAAAACAUCAGCUUGUCAUUAAAUGUCUAAGAAAAAAAAACAUGUUUUCAUAGAGUGGCCUCUUAUAUGAGCAGAGCAGAGCAUGAUGAUUCCUUUCUUGACUCACUUUGUCUCAUGUGGGCUCUUUGCUGUCUGUCUGACGUGAUGAACAUAACAAUGGCAGCAGUGCCUUUUGAAAUCUGUGCAUCCCACUCGAUUAGUUCCCCAAAGAGUGCAUGAUACAACUGCUAGUUUCAAAGAGGAAGUCAGCCGUGUUGCUUUUGUGGUGGUCUCAUGGCUCGCUUUUAUAAACAGAAGGUACAAUUGGGUCAGAGAUGACAUUUUAAAAAAUGUAUGCUUGUGUUUU